rnacentral:rRNA from 1 species
AGAGUUUGAUCCUGGCUCAGAACGAACGCUAGCGGCGUGUCUGAUUCAUGCAAGUCGAGCGAGAAACCCCGCUUCGGCGGGGGAGUAAAGCGGCGAACUGCUGAGGAACACACAGGUAACCUGCCCGCGAGACCGGAACAACUCUGCGAAAGCGGAGCUAAUGCCGGAUAUAAUGCCCGGUUAUCACGACCUGGGCAUGAAAGGUUGGUGCCCUUCGGGGUCUUCCGCUCAUGGAUGGGCCUGUGGCCUAUUAGCUUGUUGGUAGGGUAACGGCCUACCAAGGCGAAGAUGGGUUGCCGGCCUGAGAGGGUGAUCGGCCAGACUGGGACUGAGACACUGCCCAGACUCCUACGGGAGGCAGCAGAGGAGAAUCAUCCGCAAUGGGCGCAAGCCUGACGGUGCGACGCCGCGUGGAGGAUGAAGGCCUUCGGGUUGUAAACUCCUGUCAGGAGCUAUGAACAGGAGACCGGCAAACAGCCUGUCUCCCUGACCAGCUCCAAAGGAAGGCCCGGCUAACUUCGUGCCAGCAGCAGCGGUAAUACGGAGGGGUCAAGCGUUGUUCGGAUUUACUGGGCGUAAAGGGCGUCUAGGCGGGCCAUCAAGUCGGGUGUGAAAUCCCUCGGCCCAACCGAGGAACUGUGCCCGAUACUGUCGGCCUUGAGUGCGGGAGAGGAGAGCGGAACUCCCGGUGUAGCGGUGAAAUGCGUUGAUAUCGGGAUGAACGCCGGAGGCGAAAGCGGCUCUCUAGCCUGCUACUGACGCUGAAGCGCGAAAGCUAGGGGAGCAAACGGGAUUAGAUACCCCGGUAGUCCUAGCUGUAAACGAUGGGCACUGAGUGGGGUCGGUACCGAUGCCGAUCCUGCUGAAGCUAACGCGUUAAGUGCCCCGCCUGGGGACUACGGCCGCAAGGCUAAAACUCAAAGGAAUUGACGGGGGCCCGCACAAGCGGUGGAGCAUGUGGCUUAAUUCGAGGCAACGCGAAGAACCUUAUCCUGGGCUUGACAUGCUGGUGGUACAACCCUGAAAGGGGAAGGACCCCGUUCUGCGGGGAGCCAGCACAGGUGCUGCAUGGCUGUCGUCAGCUCGUGUGGUGAGAUGUUGGGUUAAGUCCCGUAACGAGCGAAACCCCUGCCCUUAGUUGCCAGCGGGUAAUGCCGGGGACUCUAAGGGGACUGCCGGUGUCAAACCGGAGGAAGGUGGGGACGACGUCAAGUCCUCAUGGCCUUUAUGCCCAGGGCUGCACACGUGCUACAAUGGUCGGCACAAAGGGUAGCAAGACCGCGAGGUGGAGCCAAUCCCAAAAAGCCGGCCCCAGUUCGGAUCGGAGGCUGCAAUUCGCCUCCGUGAAGUUGGAAUCGCUAGUAAUCGCGGAUCAGCAACGCCGCGGUGAAUAUGUUCCCGGGCCUUGUACACACG